AGUGGAAUUGCUGGGUCAUAUGGUAACUCCAUGUUUGACUUUUUGAGCAACUUCCAAACUUUUUUCCAAAGUGGCUGCCCCAUUUCACAAUCCCACCAGCAGU
rnacentral:pre_miRNA from 1 species